CAGGGUUUUGGCACCCAGGGAAGUCAGGGGCUGGUACCCAAGUUCUGAGAGACAGGACCUCAGCCUAGAGGAGAGAGACAUGUUUCCAAAUGAGAGACUUGGACUCUGGGUAGCACAAGUGAUGUGAAAGCUCAGUAAUAAAUCUUGGGAAUGAAGCAUAAGCCCAGAUGUGAAACCUACGGCGCCAUAUCUGUGCUGGACAGUACGAGGCAGUGCUGCCCAACCCAGGGAUAUUGGCCGAAGCCGCCUUCAAUACUUUCUAUCUAAGGUCAGCAUUAAGUCUAGGAAAGACCAGACUGGGGAUGAGCCUGUGGGGAGGUCAGGUUGCCACAACUGUGCGGGGAAACCAGACCAGCUCUGGCAGAAGGUGUGGUCAGGAGUCUCGUUCUUGCGUCAUCCACUCAGGGUUCUAGUCCAAGUUCCUUUCUCACAAGUCUUGCUGUUCCUGUUACAGUCAGCCCACUCCCCAGUCCACACAGUUUCUUGGCCCCAGGGGCCCAUUUUGCUCUCAUCAUCCUAUGGAAGGUGCCUCUUGAAAUUUAUAGCCCCUAGAAUCCUGCAAAUGCGUUGAUAACAGAUGUCUACUUGGCUACAUCUCAGAGGGCUUCCCUGUCAUGACCACCAGCCUGCAGAGUGCUGUUCCCAGCUGCUGCUUCAAGGAGGGGUGCUGACUGAUGGAAUUUCUGCAGGGAUCUCUUCAUUCUUCCUCGUUUUUCUUCCUGAGGAGAAAAUUUUGCUUUAUUAUUAAGUCUUCUGGGACUGAUUCUGCUCACACUUGGAAGGCACCAACCCUGUCGACACCUCGAUUUUGGACUUCUGGCCUCAGACCUGUGAGACAGUAUAUUCGUGUUGUGUAAGCUGCCCAGUUGUAGUACUUUUCCACAGUAGCCCCAGCAAAUCAAUACAGGGCCUACAGGCAUGGAUUUCUGUUCCAGUUACUUUGCUUUGCAAUAAAUGUCCCUAAAACUUCAAGGUGUAGAACAAUCAUUUUGUUAUCUUCAUUGAUUCUGU
rnacentral:lncRNA from 1 species